UUAUUUACCUGGCAAGGAAGAUACCAUGAUCAUAAAGCUGGUUCUUCCAGGGCGCAGCUUAUCCGCUUCACUCCUGAUGUGCUGAACCCUGUGCUUUCCCUAAAUGUGGGAAAAUCGACUGUGUAAUUUGUGGUAGCAGGGGACUGUGUUCACGCUGUCUCUUG
ensembl:snRNA U1 U1 spliceosomal RNA